AUGAGAUACUACAUCACACAAAAUUUAACUCAACAGCAAAACGCUUCCGAUUAUUACAACAAGCAGGUACUAGUAUGUACAAGCAUCGACAUAAAAACACUCUCCACCCGGAAAAACUGCAACUUACAACAAGCGGCCCUACAAAGGUGCAUGACGAACACCAUAUCUCAAAGCACAGCAAAAAAGGAAACAGCUCUUCCUACAUUCCGAAAACGACUCCGCAGCCGACGAACACCACUCAGGAACAGGCUACAUACAGUUAGCAAGUCCUCCAUCACAGCGACGCUACUACCAGCAAGCUUAAAUAUACGUCCCUCUACGGAACCUACUCCUAUGCAGUUAGCGGUUGGAGGUCGCCCUCAGUCUUCUCAUGGCUCAGCGCGAGCAUACCUGACAAGUCCCAAGCAUCAAAUGAUUGGUCAGCAACAGAUUUUUGGUGUAAAUACAAGUCAAGGGGGGGCAAGAACAUACGACUUACAGCUUCUUGGUGUCCCCGGAUUUCGGCAGCUGUAG
rnacentral:rRNA from 1 species